UACGAAGGGUGCAAGCGUUAAUCGGAAUUACUGGGCGUAAAGCGCGCGUAGGUGGUUCAGCAAGUUGAAGGUGAAAUCCCCGGGCUCAACCUCGGAACUGCCUUCGAUACUGCGGGUCUCGAGUCCGGGAGAGGUGAGUGGAAUUCCUAGUGUAGAGGUGAAAUUCGUAGAUAUUAGGAAGAACACCAGUGGCGAAGGCGGCUCACUGGCUCGGUACUGACGCUGAGGCGCGAAAGCGUGGGGAGCAAACAGG
rnacentral:rRNA from 1 species